GGGGCGGGCCGGAAGGCGCUUGCCACGCCGUGGCUGCGGCUCAUUGGUCCUGGCGGACUUCGCUCACUCUCAUAGCCAAUGGGAGGAGGCCGGGUAGAGGUUACCGGUUUGUUUUUUUUUUUUCACGGAGGCGGUGGCUAGCAGCGGAAGGCGGGGCCUGCUGGGGGCGGGGCUGGCAGCCUGGGUUCGAGCCCCCUAAGCUGCGCUAGGGCUUGUCCCGUUGCCGCUCUGAGGGGAGUCCAGUACUGGGCGUUUUUACCUCAGUUCCUUAUUCUGCCCCCCUCCCCCCGCCCUCCCUUGCCUUUGAGCGCUCCCUGCCCUCUUUAUCCCAGGGGAGGGUGACUCGGCCUCAGGGCAUCCACGGUCCUGGUAGCUGACGGGGGAAUUCCUCUUGUGCCCACUAAUGUUCCGUGGACACACAUUUGCUCCGCACGCGCGGUCUGCAACGUAAUUCGACAAGUUUGUAUUUUGUUGAAUUACUUUCAAAGUUUUUCUGUCCAGGGCACGUGGCUCUGCAGAGCCUUCUCCUUCUCUGGAGAACCCCAGGGACUUAAGCGGCAUCCUUGCUGACAGGGUCCCCACUUUUUUCUCGGGGGCGAGGGGGCUGGCAGUGCGCUCACAUGGGCGUGUGCUUUGUAAAAUAUGCAAAAGUGAAAGAAAAGCAAUUGGCCAGGCGCUGUGGCUCACGCCUGUAAUCCCAACACUUCGGGAGGCCGAGGCAGGCGAAUCACAAGGUCAAGAGAUUGAGACCAUCCUGGCCAACAAGGGCCAGCGGCCUGGAGCUGCGUUUGAUGGGCCCAGCUUGCAGCCAUGGCCAACAGGACUUGCUGAAAUGGUCUCAGAUCCUACUCACCCAGCCUCGCCCACUCUGUGCUUAGGGUGAAGAAUCUGGGCUAAUGUACCCAUAGAAGGAACUGGGCAGACCCAACAGGGAACAUGUACCUCUUCCUGGAGGUGCUCAGGAGACACACAGUGCUUCUCUCUGGACUUUCUCAUUCAUUCUGAAGCUUGGGUCACAGAGGUUAAAGCUCGAAUGCCAAGAAUCCAAGGGACAAAUCCCAAGGGUGCAGUCUAAUUGGCGGCAGCCGAGUUCUCCUGCCAUGGAAUCAUUCUCUCUCUUCUCCAUCCACGCUGGCACUUGCUGCUUGGAAUAUAGCAGCUGCUUCCCAAUUCUUUGUCAGACCUCUAGCCUCUCACUGCCGCUAAUUCACAGGCUGCCAGGAGGUUACUCCUAAAACUUCCUUCAGUUCUUGUUACAGCUUAUGUGAACUUCAGAAUAAAGGGGAAGAGGGUUAGGAGAAGGAAGAAAUCUCCAUUCGGUGCCAGCAAACACUCUGACAUCUGUAUCAAUGAUACCACCCAAUCCCGUUGCUUAAGCCCCAAACCUCACUGGGUUCUCUUUCCAUCACCACCUCCCAACAUCCUCUAGCAAUAAUAAUUCCAGUACCAAAACAUAUUCAAAUCUGCUGACAUUUUCCCCUCUUUCUCACAAUUAACUCCAUCUUAGUUCCAAAUGGCUGUGGGACUUUUGCUGUAGCCCCUUAGGACACCAGUGUUGGUUCCACACUGUAGCAGAUGCUAUGGUGUGUAGCCCAGACCCCACUUCACAAGGGGACACUCAUGCCUCCAGCCAUGGGGAGUGUUGACUGCUGUUGCUUCAUGGCUGUGUCCUUCCAUUGCCUAAAAAAUGCUGCCGUGCCCAAGGUUAUGCCCCCUUCCUGGAGGCAGCUUACAUCCCAUGAUUGAUUGAUUUGGGGAUACAAAGGAUGGCCCUCCUUGUCUCAGUUUGGGACAACCCUGAAGGCCCUUCCCAGCUUUAAGCUCCCUGUGGGGUCCACUGAGGCCCUUGUAAGCACCCGCAUCACGAUUCAGCUUCACGAUGUAGCUUUUCCUGCCUGGUCUCAUUUUUGCCACUUCCUCGUUGGUGUCAUUGCCAAGAGCACUCUCCAGUAAACUCUUGUGCUGCCCCCCCUCAGCUGUGUAGCAACCCUGAGUGGCUUCUAGCAGUGACAUCCAGCCAGCAGAAUUCCAUCCCCUUGCCACAGUUAUUGGCCAGGAAGAGGUUUGUCACCACAAUAGCCACUAAGCCAAGUGGCCAGUGGCAUUCACAUGGACACAGUGAUUGUUCCAGGGUAAGCAUGUGACAUAUAUUAAACCAAUCAGAGUGAAGCUCUGGACUUUGGUCAGCGGCUGGGAGAAGAGUUGCAUUUGCUUGUGUAGAAGCAUGGAGCCCUGUUUUCCCUGCAAACCACCCGGCAAGACGAGGAAAACUCACAUGAGGAUGAAGCUGAAGGGGGCAGAGCUGAAACAGUCAUGGAGAAAUGGAGCCAAUCCCUGAUCAGUGUCUGAAGACUGCCGUUCAGCUGGACUUUCCAGUUAUUGGAAUAUGAACUCAUUUUUAUUGUUUGAGCAAAUUUGAUUUGGGUUUCUAUUUUCGCUAUUUUCACUCUCCGUAUCUGUGGCGGUUAAUACUGAGUGUCAGCAUGAUUGGAUUGAAGGAUGCAAAGUUUUGAUCCUGGGUGUGCCUGUGAGGGUGUUGCCUAAGGAGAGUCACAGUGGAGUCAGUGGAUGGGAAAAGGCAGACCCGCCCUUCAUCUGGGUGGGCACCAUCUAAUCAGCUGCCAGUGUAGCUAGAAUAUAGAACAAGUAGAAAAGCGUGAAAAGGCUAGACUGGCUGAGCCUCCCAGCCUUCAUCUUUCUCCCAGAAUCCACCAGGCUGGAUUCUUCCUGCCCUCGAACAUUGGACGCCAAGUUCUUCCGUUUGGGGACUCAGACUGUCUCUUCUUGCUCUUCAGCUUGCAGAUGGCCUAUUGUGGGACCUUGUGAUUGUGUGACUUAAUAAACUCCCCUUUACAUAUAUAUCUAUCUAUCUCCUAUUAGUUCUGUCCCUCUAGAGUACCCUGACUAAUACGGUAUCUUAAAAUUCUUUUUUUCACAAAGUAGAGUCUUAUGGAUUCUUGAAAAAGUUUAAAUUAGUUCAUACUCCUCUCCCCUACUUAAAACUCUCCAAUGGGCUACAGAAGAAAAAUAGACAAUUUGGAAUUCAUCAAAUUAAAACCUUCUGUGCUUCAAAGGGCACUAUCAUGAAAGUGACAACCCACAGCGUGGGAUAAAACAUCUGCAAUGAUGUCUCUGGUAAUGAACUUGUAUCUAGAAUGUCUAAGGAAUGAUUACAACUCAAUAAUAAAAAGACAAAAGAUCCAAUUUAAACAUGAGCAAAGGAUCCGAGUAGACAUUUCUCCAAGGAAGACAUACAAAUGGCCAAUAAGUACAUGAAAAGAUGCUCAACGUCAUCAGUUAUCAGAGAAAUGUCCAUCAAAACCACAAUGAGAAAUAACUUCAUACCCACUAGCAAGGCUAGAAUCGAAGGCAGAGGAUAACGAGUGUUGGUGAAGAUGAAGAGACACUGGAACCCUCCUGCACCGGCCGUUGGGAAUGUGAAAUGGCUCGACCGCUUUGGAGAACAGUCUGUUAGCUCCUCAGACCAUUCAACAGUUACCAUGUGAUCCAGAAAUUCCACUCCUAGGCAUCUACCCAGGAAAAAUGAAAACACAUGUCCAUACAAAACACGUACAGGAAUGUUUUGGCAGCAUUAUUCAUCAUAAUCAAAAGGCUGAAAUAAAUGUUCAUCGGGCUGGGCGCGGUGGCUCACGCCUGUAAUCCCAGCACUUUGGGAGGCCGAGGCGGGUAGAUCACGAGGUCAAGAGAUUGAGACCAUCCAGGUCAACAUGGUGAAACCCCGUCUCUACUAAAAAUACAAAAAAUUAGCUGGACACAGUGGUGCGUGCCUGUAAUCCCAGCUACUCGGGAGGCUGAGGCAGGAGAAUUGCCUGAGCCCAGGAGACGGGGAGGUUGCGAUGAGCCGAGAUUGCGCCAUUGCACUCCAGCCUGGGUAACAAGAGCGAAACUCCGUCUCAAAAAAAAAUAAAAAAUAAAUGUUCAUCCCAUGACGAAUGGAUAAACAACAUAUGUCAUGUCUAUGCAAUGGAAAUAUUAUUCAGCCAUUGAGAGGAAUGAAGCACAGUGGCAUGCCCUGAUAGGGACUGGCUGUGAUGACAUAUGCUGAGUGGAAGAAGCCAGACACCAGAAAACCACAUACGUGUUUACUUUCAUAUCCAAGUUGGG